rnacentral:tRNA from 1 species
CAGGGAGACAACAACUGAUUAUGAUGUCUGAAUAAUUUGAUUUAGACCAUAAUCCUGUCACCUUAGGUCGAUCGGUACCUCAAUUUAGAUAACUUCAAUAAUCAAUUUUUCUGGUUGUGUUGAUAUCUAUGUUCAGUUCCUAAACUUUGUCUAGGUCACACCCAAUAAGGGUACUCCUGGGCCAUUAGCUUAGGUGGUUAGAGCGCACCCCUGAUAAGGGUGAGGUCCCUGGUUCAAGUCCAGGAUGGCCCAUUCGGUGUUGGGGGUAUAGCUCAGUUGGUAGAGCGCCUGCUUUGCAAGCAGGAUGUCAGCGGUUCGAGUCCGCUUACCUCCACUGAUCGACUUCCUGACAACGAAGGUUACGGAGACUUUAGUUUGAUUAGACCUAGAUUAGUUUUCUAUUGAUGAACCUAGCUUCUUGUCAAUAAUGGCAAAUUCAAUUUGUUUUGCUUGAUAAGACGCUGGGCUCACUGCAAUUAUUUAUUGCAGAGAUGUUCGGUAGAACCUUGACAACUGCAUAGGUAAGUCUGGAAAGAAUAAAGCAUCUCAUGGAUGCAUUAUUUUUAAUUGAUUUCUUCCAUUUUUGGAAUCAAAAUAUCAGUUAAAUUAAUGCUUAAUUCUUGAGUAAGAAGAGCUGAGAUUCUAUAACUUAAUUUUUUAAGUUAUAGAUAUUAAAU